rnacentral:lncRNA from 1 species
AACUGCAGUACGGGAAUCCCGAAGAACAAGUCACAACUAGGCAGCAUAAAGCUCUCGAUCCAUGUUCGCCACUGGCACUCCAAGGAACAACACUGCGCUGACAACCCUUCUUGUACCUACAUAAGAUCUCUAGGAUUAGCGUUGAUGAUGGAGGGAGCAGCGCUAAGACGGGGUCGAAGCUCGAGAACAAAAAUCAUCGAUGCAGCCGAGGGAGACAUAACCUUGUCAUUUCUAAGGAACAACAAAUCUCCGUGCCUUUUCUACUAACGACUCACGAUGCAUCCACGACAUAAGGAAGAGGGCGAAUGGAUAAAAAACAUGCGCACGCCAAAAAAAACCUCCGUCGUUAGCUAGCCCUGACCGACCCCUCACUUCUGACCACCACAAAUAUACUCCUAGCUGACAAGGUUUUAGAUCUAAAUGAAAACUGACUGCACAGAGCCCUCUCGUCAAUGUUGGAACAAGUGUUUUGCCGAGACACGCACAAAUUUAUAGUGACAUUGCUAGAACGUAGGACCUAUCUCUAAAAAAUUACCCCAAAUAUUUGUUGCGGAUAAGCCAAAAAAUAUUUUGGAUCAUAUAUCGUAUUUACCAAUUCAAAAUGGAAUGAGAUGUGACGGCAUCUUUGGUUUUUGACAGCUUAUAUAUGCAUAACUAGCGUAAAGUGACCAAGGCAGAUUCCCAGCUCAAUCUCUCAAAGCGGCAUAACCAAGGCAGAUUCCCGCCUCAUUCCGUCAUCAACGGUUGGCUUAAAAGAAAAAUUGGAAAAAAAAAUCUUGUUGUCGUUUAAACUGCCGAAGCAAUUACCGACCCAACGCAUUUGUAGGCAUGUAUGGCAACUACUCCACGACAAUUUGAUAGCGUGGCUUCAUAUGUGGAGUUUCCACAGCAUGCCUUCGUAUGUAGUUUUCUCUCACGAGUUAAAUGUUGUUGCAGUUACAAGGAGUACAAAGACAGGCGCAGGCUUCGUAUGAGGGAAUCGGGAGAUCGCCAAUGUUAUCUGAAUUCGGGAAGCCAUGAAAUUAUCAGGUG